AGAGACUCAGGGUUGUGCCGUGGUCUUGCCGUGGUUUACUGUGGUCUUGCUGUGGUCUUGCUGUGGAGGAUUUCCUGGGUGACGUAUACAGUUCUGACACAAUCUCAUUGCUACCACUCACUGCCGCUCCUGACAUUUCAUACAAUUUCCCCGGUCGUGUGGUCCUUAUAGAGGAUAUUCCUCAACAGGAGGUGUGUUACGGGUGCAGUGUGUGGGUAGAGCGCCAUGUGAAUAUUGUGGGUUUGUGUAGAGGCAGCUGGAAGUGGAUUUAUAUAAAGAGUUUGCGGUCUUGUGUUUUGUGAGACUUGGGUGGCGUUGGUGAUGGUGGGGCAAGUUUGAGCAGCAUUAUGUUUAAAAAACGUCGUUCUCAACUUAGUGAUGAUCCACCAUGGCCCCACAGCACCUAGCAAUGCUCGCUCUCUCCUAAAUAUUUCUGUAAUGGGACCAUCCUGCGCCUUAACCCCUCACCCACCCAUUCCUAGUCCUUGAGGCACCCGUUACCUAGCUUUCAAUUCUUCUCGUACUCAUUCUAGAAAGUCUGUUACUCCCUGUAGUAUUCUCCAGCCAAAUUUCACAAUUCCUAUUUACUUGCUUAUCCUAGUUUUUAAUACGACCGGGUUUUCCUGCUAUUUUGCUUUUGUUCUCUGAAGAAUUCCAUGUAAUCGUUGCUUUAACCCCAAGCUCUUGUUUUUCAUGUGGUUACUACAUUCUUUAUACUCCCUGUUAAACUCUGCCAGGACUUUCAAGUUUCGGCAUAGGGAAUUGUUAGAGACCUCUGGUAGAUUUGUUCUCAUUUGAUGUUGGUAGUCUAAGUUUCUGGUUCUUUUGCUUAAAGUGUCGGCUGUCAGAUGCUGUUCUUGUUACCAUUAUCUGCUCGACUUGCCAUAGUCCUCUUUAAGAAAAAUAGUAUUGUUUGUUUGGUUUACUCCUCUGUUCGUGUCUCCAUCCUUCAAUAUUUAGCGUUAUCUUCUAGUUUCUCUUGUCAAGUAUUUUCUUGUUCCGGGUUCAAAAGUUUUUCUUUUUCAGUCAAUCCAGAUUGUUUUGGAUCUUACCUUGUCUGAACUUGGAACUUGGUAUUUGUUUUGCUUUGUCAUCAAUAUUUGCUCAUCUCUCGUGUUAUCUAUUAGCCUGAGUCUCAGUUGAACUUGACUAAACUUCUCUUGAGAGUUCCAAACUCGUUCUGAAUUCUUUCAAAAGUGCACUUGUGUCGCUGGGAGAUGUGAUGACUUCUUCCCUUGACUCUGCUUCCUGCAACGAAUGUUACUACUAAUUUCCUGCAUGCCAAGACCCCCGAGCUAAAACCUUCAAGUCCCUACACUCUGUUCUACCUGCUUUUUACCCUACCAACGCCGUUACCACUGUCUCUGCUGGUCCUGCUUGAACGAGAGGAACUACCGAGGCCAUGCAUGUCCCUCUGCUAGAACAGGACCUCCAGAAGGAGUCAUUUGACGACGGCUCCUGCACAGGCGAUGACGAUGAUAAUGACGAGGAAGUUCUCUGGAGCAUUGACGACAAAAUGGAAUAUACGAAGCUGCUGGGUGGAGGUGAGAAG